rnacentral:misc_RNA from 1 species
CAAUAAGAAGACUGUCAUAUUGAACAUUUCUACAACCAGAAACUAAAUAGCAUAUCGAAAAGCUGUUAUAUAGUCAAAAUAAAAAUAAGAAAAUGAAUGCUCUUUGAGGGAUGGGGAUGUUUACGCUAUGCCUCGAAAAAGCCAGGGGCUUGGAAAUGCUUACUAAAAUACAACAAUUGGUAGGAAAUAUCUGUCAUAUGACAAAGGCUUGUCCUUACACCUUAGUAUGACCAAUUGCUAAUCUACAGCCAUUGCUUCAGGACCCCCACUACCAUUCUCCACCCCGUUCUUAUUAUGAUCAUCAACUGCAUUCCUCAACUCUUCCACCAAGCUCCUCUGUUCUUCCUCAAUUGCGUUCUGCAACUCAUCAACCACGUGCAAUAGAAGUGCAAAUUGCUUUUUACGAAGCUCCAACGUUCUUGAACUAGCAGUAUUUUCUGCCCCCAACAUAGCUAUCUCUUUUUCAAGCUCUGUAAUAACCUUCUGAGUUUCAGAUCUUGGAGGCUGCAUGGCAACCAACUUCCUGAUAGACUCACACUCUUCUUUGUGCUUCCUCUCUAUCUUGCUUUCUUCAAGUUGCCUCUUGAGAUCUUCUAUCUCGGCCUGAGCUUGUAAAAUUUGCCCAUUUAUCUCAUCUUUUAGGUCGUUGAAGUUCUCCUUCUCUCUAAGAUUUGCAUCUAUGACUGCUUUGCUCUUUAGGAGCGGAAUCUCAAAUGUAUUUAGCUCUUGCAAGAAAGCUUUGGCAAGUCUUUCACAAUCACCAUAGUUAUCAGCUUCCUUCUCUACCUCCAAAGCAAAAGCAGUAAACUUUUUCUGAAGUUUCUUCAAUGGGGGUUCACCUCUAGUGGUUGUUGUGCGAGUGAGAAGUCUAUGCUUAAUAAUUGAAUCAUCUUCAAGCGGGCCAAAAGCAUAAUUUGCAGGCACUGUCUCCCCCUUCCCAGCAACUCUUCUGCCUUUUGCCAACAUUUAUUUUCCUACCUUGAAAGAAAAACCUAUUGUGAAGGACCAG